ACAGGCUGAAAUAUAAAAUUCAGAUCCUCUCAGAAGUAGGGAUUUUAGGAUCUGGGGGUCGUUCGUAGGAUCUGGUUUAUAAUUUUCUUCCAUAUGAGAGAGCCUAAUCUCUCUCUUUAUGUUUUAGAGAUCUCGUUAAUGUUUUUUCUUCAUCAUUGUUGAAUUUUUUGCAACUUUAUAGAGAGAAUAUGAAAUGUGUAAGGAUUUUGCUUCUGUUCUUUUGUAAAGGAAGUUCCAGGGCUGUUGAUC
rnacentral:misc_RNA from 1 species